ensembl:lncRNA
UUACAGGAAGGGCUGUGGAUCUAGUAGGUGCCCUUACAUACACAUUACAGGAAGGGCUGUGGAUCUAGUAGGUGCCCUUAGACACAUUACAGGAAUGGCUGUGGAUCUAGUAGGUGCCUUUACAGACACAUUACAGGACUACAGAAGGUAGGGUUACUAUGGAGAACUUUGGAAAGAGGUUGAAGAGAUUGCAGAGCUCUGUGAAAUAAGUGUACAAACAGUAUGUUAAAGACAGUCUAAAACAAGCGUGUGAUUCCACAAAUCAUUGAUGAUGAGCACUGUAGGACAGAAAGAUAGUGACCAAAGUGAUGGUGAGAGCUUCCAAAGAGCUGUCUUUUAUCAGCUGCUCGACAGUCUCACAGCUGAGCUGCAGAGGAGUUUUUCAAAGAAGAAUUGCGAGAUAAUGCAAGGGGCCCAGUCUCUCAACCCAAAGAGGACAACAUCCUUCAAUGUGGAACCUCUGUUUGCCUUUGCUCAAACAUGAGGUUCAUCAAACCAAGCGGCUUCUUAAUAGGAGAGAGCAAAGUGGAAGGGACUACUCUCCUUGACUUGGUUGUGUUUCUAGAACCUUAUAAAGAGGUCUUCCAUGAGCUAUUUAGACUCUGUAAGAUUUCUGUUACACCAGUCAGCACUGCUGGAAGAGGGGGAGGGGGACGUCGGGAGUACGGAUGGUGUUCUCACCGGUAGAUAUGGAGCAGGGGAGCAUCGGGUGAGUCUCCUGUUUUUGUUUUUUUCUGUCUGGGUUUAGUAUUUGAGUUAAAUUUUUGAUGUUUUUCUUUUUUUCUUUCAUGGGGUCUAAUUUUACUUUUGUUAGUUUAAAUGUAAGGGUUAAGGGAUUUUGUUAAGAGGAGGGCGGUAUUUAGUUAUUUGGAGGGUGUGGGGUUUGAUUUUUGUUUUUUACAUGAGGUUCACCUGAGGGAUGGAGGGAUGUUAGUAGGUUUAAGAGGGAGUGGGACAAGGGGGAGUCGGUUUGGGGUAUUGGGGGGGUGCACUCAUCGGAGGUAGGGAUUUUGUGUGGGCACAGGGAGGUAAAAAGUGGAGGGUUGAUGUUGGUGUAUGGGCCACAGGUGGCGGCAGACAGGAGGGAGAUGGUGGACUGUCUGGCGCCCCUGUGCGUCACAAAUAGGAAAUUAGUGAUAGGGGUGGAUUUUAAUAUAGAUUUAGGAGUAGGGGGGAAUAGCAGUGCAGGUGCCAUCACCAGGCUAAUGGCUUGCCAUGGUCUGGUUGAUGGUGGCCUGCACACUACUCUGAAAAUGGCCGGUCCUACAUGGCGCAACUCCAGGGGGGUUUCGCGGAGGCUCGACUAUAUUUUUGUAUCCAGGUCUUUGGCUAAGUUGUCUGGGCGGCUGUUGCCUGUUUUCUUUUCAGAUCACAACGGGGUGCUCCUGCAGGUGGGGACGCCAGUCUGCCUCUUCGGUAGGGGUACUGGAAGUUAGAUCGGGAUGUGCUGGAGGAGCAGCCUUUUGUUGACGCUUUUUUGGUUUCUUUUGGAGGCUUGAAGGCCUCCGGUCCAUGUGUGGGGGGGUGUUAGAGUGGUGGGAUUUAGUCAAGGUGAGGAUUAGGGCUUUUAUAAUAGGGUAUUGCAAGAGGAAAAAAAGGGAGGAGAGGAGGGAGGUGGAUCGUAUCCAAAGGUUAAUCGAACUCGAGUACGAGGCAAGCAACCUCGGCGGGUUGUUUGACUGGGAGAGAUCCGCAGCCCUAAAGGCGCAGCUCAGGGAGCUGCA